UACAGAGGGAGCGAGCGUUAAUCGGAAUUACUGGGCGUAAAGCGUGCGUAGGCGGUCGUGUAAGUAGGGUGUGAAAGCCCCGGGUUCAACCUGGGAAUUGCAGUCGAGACUGCACGGCUGGAGUGCGGAAGAGGGAAGCGGAAUUUCCGGUGUAGCGGUGAAAUGCGUAGAUAUCGGAAGGAACAUCAGUGGCGAAAGCGGCUUCCUGGUCCAGCACUGACGCUCAGGCACGAAAGCGUGGGGAGCAAACAGG
rnacentral:rRNA from 1 species